rnacentral:tRNA from 1 species
ACUAUUUUGGCAGAAAAGUGUAAUAAAUUUAGAAUUUAUAAAUAUAAUUUUAGAAUUAUAAAUAGUA